AUUACCCCCAAAAGCAGUUUGUUCAAUUAUGCCAGUAAUUCAACAUAGCUAAACACGCAUAAAUGCAGCUUAUAACUCCCUUCUAAGAGGGAAAUAUUAUUCAUUUCCAGGAGAUAUGACCCUGAUUCCACUACAACUGUUUGUGGAGUGAGGUAUUUAUUGGAAGAGCUAUCCUGGUUUCAUCUGGAAUCUUUGCCUUUUGUUGUCUCCUUCUGGUCAGUGAAACUGAAGCACUUGUGUGACCUUUCAUUUAAAGAAAGGUUGGAAAUGCCAGCAAAAGAGCCAGACUGACAUGGAGCAAGGACCGCUUCCUGAGGCAGUGUGUCUUAUCUCAGCUUUGUCCCUCACUGUCAUAAUGUAGAUUCUCAUCUCUUUUGGUCUGAUUUGUAUUGAGUCUUGUUGGCAGCAAGAGUCCAGAGCCACAACAAUGAGGAUCCUUGGCAGAGACACUGGAUGCACAGUCUCAUUUCCAGUACUCGUACGUGCAAAGACACGAAGAGUCAGGCGUGAAGCACCGCUGAAGGGAAUCUAAGAAAUCUGCCCUGGAAAAACACCUUAUCUGCGAUGGUAUCAACUCAGCAAAUUUUCAUGAGACCACAGAACUUUUUUGCUGAUUACUCUGUGAAAGUGUUACUUCUCCUGGGUUCCCAAAGGUUUGAGCUGCGUGUAGAACUGCAAGAAACAGCAGGUAAAGCAUCACUCCCAGGUGCCCACAGUCUCUCUCUCCUUGCAUCCAACUCUUUUUUAAAGGCACAGGGAUCCUUGUGCUUUGCAGAUGGACUGAAUCCGAGAUUCUUAUAAUAGAGUGUGUUCCUUGAAAUCAAUUGUCAAGAGGCCUCAGCAGUGUUCACUAAGAAUGUCAGUCUGACAGAGAAUUACACCCUGGGGAAAGCAAUCGGGCUAUAAACAGCCCCCUGGCACACACACCAGCCACAGCCUGCUGAGAUACAAUGCUUCAAACAAAACAAAACAAACACAAAAAAAGGGGGACAAACAACAGAAAGAGAUUUCUGGGGGAUGAAGUCAACUCAUUAAUGUAACAAGGAAAAUGUAUGAGAAGCUUCAGGGAGACACGGAGUGCUUGCUCUGGAUGCAUUCCCACUGCACUUGCAGGGACGCAUCUUGUGCCUUGGCUCGGAUUCCAGCCCCAAAGAGAAUCACAGAAUCACAAGGUUGGAAAGGAUCCACUGGAUCAUCGAGUCCAACCAUUCCUAACACUCCCUAAACCAUGUCCCUCAGCACUUCAUCCACCCGUUCCUUAAACACCUCCAGGGAAGGCGACUCGACCCCCUCCCUGGGCAGCUGUUCCAGUACCCAAUGACUCUUUCUGCGAAGAAUUUUUUUCUGAUAUCCAACCUGAACCUCCCCUGGGGGAGCUUGAGGCCAUUCCCUCUUGUCCUGUCCUCUGUCACUUGGGAGCAGAGCCCAGCUCCCUCCUCUCCACAACCUCCUUUUAGGUAGUUGUAGAGAGUAAUAAGGUCUCCCCUCAGAGAGAGGAGAGAAGGGAGAUUAUGAUCAUAAACUGAUGUUAUAAAAAGCAAGUAUGAUACGAUCAGAAAUUAAGACAAUGCUUCCUCAGUGGUCAUGCUGAGAACAAACUCCUGCUACCUUCAGUGAAGCCUGAAAGCUACCUAACGGCCUGACAAAGCAAAUCAUUAGCAACAUUUCACCUAGGUCUUAAAAUAUUUUCAUUGCAAAUGACUCUCCCAUUAGAUGAAUGCCCGUGUCAGAAAGUAAUUACCCUUUCUUUGAACUUGCAUUUCAGAAAUUUGAAACAACUAAAAAAAAAGAAUGACAGAGAAGAAUAAGCACUUACUUUUUAUGACUUUUUUUUUAAUGACUUUUUAUGACUCUCCCCCUCCCUUCCCUCUCCUCCCACCACAUCAGCGACAGAGUGAGGGGCAGGUGAACAGCCUGAAUUUUCAGCAUUAGAGUUCAAGGAGACUGCAAAAGAUGUCACCACCAAGAGGCAGCUCUCACCAGCCACUUUUUCUUUAAAACUGUUUCUUUGACAUAUGUGAAUUGACACGACAGUAUAAGCGGGCAUAUAUACCGGGUCAGUCGAGUUCUAGCUUGGAGCCCAAAGCUCUGAGGGCACACGCCAAGAGACACAGCAUAGAACUGCUGCCUUUCUGUAAGCACUCUCCCACUGCAAAAUUGUGGAUAGAAAAGACAGAUUCUUACAAUUAAUUUGAAAUAUACAUCCUAAGUGAAGGCUGAAUUUUCUAAAAGGUUUACUAGUUACGUGUCCUUGCAAAGCUGAGUGAAAGCUGACAGGAGACAAAGCCACAUCUACUGACAUUUACAAGUUCUCAGAAACGAACAUCCACUUUUAACCGUGCGUCAGCACAUUAUUCAAUUCUUUCUUUUGGUAUGUGCAACUGCUGAGACACCCAGGCUAAAAUUAGGGUCAGCACUCUUUCUGUGUGUGUUUACCAAUAUGUGCCUAUAUGUACGUAUAAGCACACACAGACAUGGGAAAACAUGGAAAGGAAAAAAAUGGAACUGACAAUUAAUAACAGUAACUUAAGUCUUGGCUUUAAACUCAUUUUGUGAUCAUUCACCCUGGGUUUGACUCACAAUAGGAAGUCCAUCUGUCUGAAGAAAAUAUAUCCAGAUACUAAUAUCAGGACAAUGAUACAAGAUCACACUAUUUUUUAAAAAAACCCUAUUAUCUGCACUGAGAAGUCAAUAUAUCUCUUCUGUGAAAGUAAGCGUGCACACAUCUCGUAUAGGAUUUUUCUGGGCUUGUGAGAAAGCUAUUACAGAGGAUGAAUCAAAAACAAAGCAACAUUUAUCAGUGCUUUCUUUAAAAGAAGAGAGAGAACAAAAUUGGCCCUAUCAUAAAAUAUUUACGUGGUUUUUUUUUGUAAAUCACAGUAGACAGAAAAUAAUGGGACAGAAAAAGAAGAUGAUGUUCAAACCAAGACUUUGAAAGUGACUUUCUUCAGUAUAGUUAGAAACGGGGGAAAAAAGAGGCAGAGGAAGAUUGAGACUCCAUGCAUCAUUUGAUGUUUUGUUCCAUGUGCAUUAAUGAGCACUCAGCAGCACACCCCGCCCUACAACCUUCCCGUUAGACAUGGUAGCUGACGUCAAAUAUCCCAAGAGGUACAGCAAAGCACUUUCCAACCCAACUUCCCCAUCUUAACCAUCCUCUGGAUCCCAUGGUUAUGAAGCCUUCAGGAGGUACUUCAGCCCUUGGCUGAUUCCUCCCUGAUUGUCACCCCAGAAUUCACAGAGGAAUUCAGGGGGUAAGCAUGGAGGUUGGCAAGCACGGGCGGAGAUCAGUCCUGGGGCUCUCCGAGCACCUCCCAUGAGAAACUCAGGGCUUCCAGCACAUGCAAAGCUACAUCAAUAGCUUAGCGUAGCAGCCUGCAUCCUCUUCCUCAUCCCACCUGGGGUUCCUGAGGUGCCUCAACCGGCAUCUCGGGGCACAGCUGGAGAAAAGCUUAUUGGCAACACCUACAUCUUACAAACCUAAACUUUGUAUUUCUACAAUCAUAAACAGGUUUGGGGUUUUUCAGUCGGUUUCAUUGAUUUUCACAUCUCUAAAGCUAAGCACAGGUAUCAGUGGGUGCAAGAUCAUUGAAUUAAUUCAGAAUUAAACUCCUUUGGAUUUUAAGCAGCUUCAGCUUCCACUAUUUCUACCAUCUCUACUAAUUGCACUCAGUGGAAUUUUCUGAAAGUAUAGUUUUAUUUCGUAGGGAAGAAAGAUACAUCACAUAGACUUUGAGAUGUUCAAAUUAAAAAAAAAAAUAACCCAACCUUUUUUACUUACAAAAUAAAAAGUUUUUCUACUCAGCCACUUCCAACAGUUUUCUGUUCUCUCUAACUCUAAAUCCUGCUCAGAGCUGCUAUUUUCAGGAAAAAAAAAAGCUGCCAUAUAUCCAAUGUAAUUCAGAUAUUUUGCUGCAAAAAAGUGUCUUUAAAGUGCAGAUUUGGACAAAGAACAUCCUGCAGAGAUUUGAUGAGAAGCUUUUAUACUUAAGUGAUAGCCUUUGUAUUGUAUACAAGGAGGAGGAAAUAGCUAUUCAAACAGAAAAACAAUGAUCUAUUAUUCCAGAGAAAGAAAACUCUGAAUAUGACAAAGAUGACCAGCAGCACAAAAAGCAGAGUGGAUCCCUGACAUCUCCCGCCUGCCAUCUGAGACAUACUGAAUGCCACCAGCUCACAACCGAUUACAGUUUGCACCUUAUAAUGGACACUUACUUUUUCUCAUCCUUUAAGUCUGUUUUCCAACACUGUCCAAAGAUGACAGGUCUUUGUAGUGGACAAGCUGCAAUGAAAAUAGAGGCCAUUGUAAGGUCUAGAGCACUUUUCUCGAGACUAUUUCCCAAGACUUGCACUUAAUUAGAGUUGUAGUGCAUCUCCAAAAAGGUGCACGUGUUCUCUCCUCUCUAUUAUCUGUCACAUCACAUUUCUGCUCAACAUAAUGCAGCAAACGUGGGGAGUGAUUUGUGGAAUACAUUAACAUAGUUUAACACACUGUGCAUAACAUUUGCAUGCUAGUGCUGUAAGGAAAGGUGAUAGGUCAGAAUAAAAUGGAUGAUUAAAAAGAGUUGAUUAAUUUCUGUAGCACUAUUUCAAAAAGAUGUAUUAGACUAGAAAACUUGACUCACUCCUUCCUAGUAUCUUAAUUACGCAGAACGAAAGGAGCAGUGCUGAAGCUGUGAUCCUCCCUGCACGACCAAGCAUUACUUGCAGAAAGUUAGUGGAACAAUCAGUGAUUUUUGUAAUGUGGGGCUACUUUUCAGCUCUCAUCCUACACACCCUUGCUGGGCCCUUCAACUCAGCUGCCUCAUCCUGUAGCUCUCAUCUUCCUUUAUUCAAGUCGCCUGAAAUCAAAGCUCAGCAUGUACCGAGGUGUUUUCCUUUUGAAGGAUGGAAUUAUGUGUAAGAAUAAAUCUUUUUUUCUCUUGGACUGGCACCCAAGGAGAUGCACAGUGGCUUUCACUUGAGUAUAUCAAGGCUGAACCACAUCCAAAUAUCUGUACAGGACGAGUCACUCUAGGAGACUCUCGGUCCCAGUGAGGGUGAUGGGAUUGUGUUCAGCCAUCGCUUUCAGUAGGACCAAAAUUACCAUUCAGCAUCAUCGGCUGCUUGGGGAGGGACCAGCACUGCCACAGUCCCCGGGCCUGGCUCCGAACUCCUAGCUUUAUCGCAACAAGAAACAACAGCAACCCAUAAAGGUAAACAUCAAUUUGGCCUGAAUGUCAGUCCCUCUCAGCUGCACGCACGUAAUUCUGAAUGAAGCAGCAGUCACCCCCUAAGCAUCCAUCACAGCAUUGCUGCUGGUUUUCCAGUGGGUUGGUUUUUUCUGGUGGAACUAAUUGACCUCUGACCUGUUUAUUGCUUUAUCGCCACCAAUUUAGCACCAGUUUAUUCAUCAACAUCUGGUGGUCAGAAUAUUGUAUUUUACAUUAUUAGCUCUCAAAUGAGUAGCUAAUGCUGCUUAAUGGGGCAGUUCUGUGCAAGUAUAGACUCAUUUUUUCUCAUUUUCCUAAUGAAUGGAGGAUCUUCAUCAAAUAAAUAUUUGCCAGUUGGCUUACUAUCAAAGUUGAUAAUUAAAAACUGAAAAAUGCUCAAUAUAUGGAGAGCUGAACGGCGGUGGCAUGUGAGUUUUAAAGUAAUAUCAUUUCUGCCACUCUGCACUUGCACAGAGCCCAAAUUGGCAAUCAAGGGAGCAGCGUGAGGAAGGUUGAGAUGGAUUUACAUAUUGUCUCACUAAAAUGCUACUGAUUUAUUUCGCUGGUGCCAGAGACACAACAUGGGCAUGGCUUAAAUAGCCUUCUUUUCCUGGUUUUUACAAAACAAAUAGAAAAAAAGAAAAAUAUGGUAAUAAACCAUCUUGGACUCAGUCAUAAAAACAUCCGAUUUCCCUCCACCAACUAGCACAAUUGCACUUUGCAAUGGGAAUGUGCAGAGAUGGUGUGACCUGGCAUGCAGAAUUCAUGAAACAUCUCUGCAUAAACACAUGAAUUUGGAAUAAAUGCAUUUCAAGCUGAGAAAGUGCAGCACUGAACUGAGAGUGAGCUGCACUUCAGCAUAUACCCCUCAGGCUCAGAGCCUGGCUCAGGUUUGAGACAAUUCAAGUCAAGGCUUUUAAACAAGUUCCCCCAUACUAAGGGCCAAAUUAUUUUAAAAGUUAACUUUUUCCUACAGAUAAACACAUAUACAUAUCUAUUACUACUUGAUUAUUUCCAGUUAUACACUGAUACUUAGUGGUGUCAGCUGGUAGCAUUCAACGCGCAGAAACACUUUUGGUUUUACUAUACCAAAAGUCUUUUCUUCUCAGUACAAGAUUCUACACAGGUUCUUAGGAAAGUAUCUUUACAAACAAAACUACUGAUUUUAAGGAUGUAAACGUAACAAGCAUGUUUUCUUUGCAGGACUGGAACUCACUGUCAGUCUUACAUUCCAUACGCUUGCAAAUAACUGAAAAUUACCACUGACAAGUUUAAAUUCACACAGGAAUUCAGGAGGUUUUGUUGGUAGAGUACAAUUAUGAAUGAGUAAUAGUUAACCUGCAUUACUUGCAUACUCCUGCAAAAAGGUACGCGGAGAAUGCUGAGAACAUUUUUCACUCUCCCAUGUGACGUCUGACAAGAAGCUAUUGCUUCGGUUUAAGAAGCUUUCAGAAUUUGGCAGAGUUCACCCAUGCCAUGUUUUCAGCACAAUCCACGUGCAUCUUGAGGCAAAGCAGUAAAGGCAUAACAAACAAAUUAUUGUAAUAGUGCUGUUAAAAUGCAAAGAUCACUUUAUUUUGUCAAAACCAAAUAAUUCCUGCUAUUUCAAAGAGAAUAUACUCUAAUCUAAAGCUACCGAAGCGCACAGAAGCUGUGCCAGCACUAAACGUAUCUGUUGGCUUCAUGGCCCGUUAAACAGCACAGAUGGUACUAUGAAUUAUUUCUGAAAAUGUCAAUACGUUUCUAAUACCAUAGGCACAAUUUUCCUAAUCUUUGGGUGCGCUCUCCCUGGGCCUGGGUCCCAACUCAGCUCCUGAAAGCCCUCUUUUUCCAUCUCACUUAGCGAGUGGCUGGCAGCAGAUGCAGCCAAAAACUGUGCAGCAAAACAGCAGCUCCAGCCCACGCAGACCCCGAGAUGCCACUGCAAUUUUACUGCUACAGUUUCAAGGAUGCUGAAAGCAUGGGAUGAGCACUCCUCUAGCAGUAGAAAAGCGUGUGGUAAAAAGUAAAUACCAAAGCCCAGGAAACCAUCAUAAAAGUGUUUCUUUUUAGUUAUUUUUAGAGCUCUAAUGCACUCUUGAGUCAAGAAAAGAAAGUAAAGAAAGUAAAGAAAAUAGAGAAAAAGAAGGGGGUAGGAAAUUGUGUCAGGCAGAUUUACAUGGGAUCAUUCUUGCUUUUAGAUCCUUUGGCACAUAUACGAUAAAAGUGCAGAAGUGCUUCACUAAUACAGAUUAUUUUAACCUAAUAUGUUGAAGAGUCAUGAACUCAUAAUUUCUAAGAAGUCAAACUACAAUAUAUGCCAGGUUUAAUAUUCGUAGCCUGAUGCUCAAGCAUACCAAUAUUUUUCACAGCCUAUGACUAAUCUCCAGUUCCAAAAUCCUUUAUUUAUUAAUACAUCCACCCACUAAGUAAGGAGAUUUUUUUUUCCCCUUCUGUUUUCUACACUUAUGUUAAUGAAUUUGUUAACAAAAAAAUGUUUCCUAUUAUUUUGCAGGUCUGUAUUUUAAAUGCAGCUUCCUAAUUGCCAGGAGAAGCAGGCUAGAAGAACUAAGAAAAAAACCUGUGGCAUUUAUUUCUGUAGACAGCUCUGCUUCAGUUACAGGCAAUAAGGGGUUCAAAACUCCAAAAUCUUCAACUUGCACGGUAAUUUGUCAAAAGAGGAACAAGUCAGAUGAAAAAUAGUUGAUGGUUCUGCACCAUCAAUAAAUUCAGGCCAACUUACAUUCGCGUUAAGAUCCUUUCUACCUGUCCUACAAUACAAAACAACAUGAAUGUUCUCACCUCAUGAGUUCUGUGCCUCAUCAGCUACUUUCAUGGAAACUACUCAACCGCAUUAGCCCACCCUUGUGAGCCUUCCCCACAAACUGUUCUUGAAGAUGUGUUAUAGUGGGGUCCACCAGAGCACCUUCUUCUAAGCUUUAAAUGAAGAACAAUGACGCCAUCAUUUUGAGGCGUAUCUUAAUUCAUGCUUCCGUGCGUGCACAUUAAAGAUCAACAUCCAUCUCCCUUUGUCGCAAGGAAAAGUAAAGCUAACUGCGUUAGCUACAGCUUAUGGGACAAAAAUGAAUUAAUAAAGGCAGAUGGAAACCAGAACAGAGGUUUCCCUCUUUGGAGCAGAGAGUGCUCUCAACAGAGAUCCUGGCAGAUGUGAAUUAAAGUUCUGAUUUAGUACAUCCUUAAUUCAUCUGCAACUUCAAACCUCCUGCAAAAGACACCCUCAAGUUGCUGUUUAGUGUCUGAUGCAAAGUACAUUUCACUCUAAACCUCUGACUUGCCUUAGUCUGAUGUAAACAAAGAUGAAUUAACCCAAGCUUCCUGAAUGGCAGAUCCAGACUGAUAUACACUUAAACAGCAGCUUCUCUUCAAUUUUGUGACAGUUCAGAAACACCUGACUGCAAUUUUUUCCUGAGUUUAGAACUUGUGAUGACUUCUCAUGUGAGGAUUUUGUUGCAAACCUUCUGGGGAACAGUUGUCAAACUGUAAAGUGAAUCUCUAUACUGCCUGUUUUGCUGUGUAAAAUAACUUUCUUUCAACAAGAGAAGUGCCUAACUUGGCCAAAAAAAA